AGAGAGAGAAAAAAAAAAUCAAAUCUCUCCUCCUGCACCCGGCUCUGGAUAUUGCACCAGGUCAGACUCCGACACCUCUAUGAGCCUGCUCGGGGAUCAGCACGGUGCGGGGUCACCAUGGUGCAAAUCGGAGCAGAAUCUGGCUCGGGAUCUUUCAGGAGCCAGGAUGCUGUGAUGACCUAGCUUGCAAAGCAGACCCUGUCUCAGAGAUGUCCUGGCAAUUGUGACCUGCAUUGUGGUGAAUGCCGGCGGUCCCAAGUGCAAUUGUGGACUCCGUGCACUCGGUGAUGUCCAUGCACCUAAUGAAUCAAGAUGUGGCCUGGUCCAGAGAGGGCAGCGGGGGUAUGGAAGCAGAUCAGCUCCCCAUGGUGCACCACGAUGCCUGGUUUUGGCAUAUUUUGACAAAGAAAUAAAUAAAUCAGUUGUUUUCCAUUUGAGAAAAAAUAGUUUAAUCAAAAACAAUGCAACCUAAAACCCAUUCCCAGUUUGGCCAGGUUGUUUUCUAUCCACUCUUUCCUAAGGUUUCACUGUUCAGGUGUGAUACCAGUCUGCUCUUCCUCUUGACUUCCUCGCCAAGUGCAGAAAAGCUUGGACCCUGUAGAAGUUGGAUUGGCAACUCAGCUAGCCAGAAAAUGACCCUCCAGCAAGAGUGACGGCAACGUAGCUGGCUUUUUAUCAAUGCAACCUUGCUAGCAAAGCUUGUGUACUUGGCCUUGGGGAUGACUCUGGGUUUCAUUCAAAUAAAUGCCACCGUUUUAG